GGGUCAGUAGGUUGGUCGUGCCACCGGUACGUACUGGUCUCACUGAUUCCUCCUUCCUGAAGAACCGUAAUGCCAUUAAUUUGGUGUUGCGGGGAAACAGGACUGCUACUUUGAAAAAAUUAGAGUGUUUAAAGCAAGCUAACGCUUGAAUACAUUAGCAUGGAAUAAUGAAAUAGGACGAUCGAUCCUAUUUUGUCGGUUUCUAGGAUUGACGUA
rnacentral:rRNA from 1 species